GCAUAGUAAUGGAUUUAUGGUGUGUCCUCUGUGGGCACCUCACAGUAGGCCCAUGCCAGAGAAAGCUGCAGCUUUAAACUAUUGCCCAGUAUCCUUACCUGUGGGCUGUGAGCACUGAAGAGGGCUGUGGGGUG
rnacentral:snoRNA from 1 species